UGGUUUCUUGGGAGGUACAAGCAUCAGUUGUGGUGCCCAUGGUCUGGAAGCCAGCACACCCCCCGCUCCCGCCCCCCCGCCCCCAGACAAGCAGUAAAGGUCUGAGCAGCCUGUCCUGACCCUUUGAGGGCCUUACUGGACUGACCCCAGAAAAGGGGCCAAGUCCAGGGGGUUUCCUCCGGUCACUCCUUUCCUUUUUUAAAAAAUUCCUCUCUCUCUCUCUUUUUUUUUUUUCUCAUGCCCUUUCUCCUUCCGCUCCCGGGUCGCUCUCCUCAUCUCUCUUCCCAUCCCCUCUCUUUCCGGGACAGGUAUUUCUCGGAGAACCGGGCUGUGGAGAGUUCUCCAGCCAGAGCUGCAGCUCUAAGUAAAGGCAUCCCGAGGCUCCCUAGGACCGCGCAGUCGCCUGGAGGCCGCCCUCCGGAAGGGGCCGCCCCUGAGCCCGCAGAGCUGGGCCGGGUGGCCUGGGAGAGCCCAAGUGGCCGCCGCGCUAGGCUGGGGUCCGCAGGGAGGGACCGGUGACAGCCUGGGGGCCUCCCGGCAGAGCGCAGAAAAGCAGAGAAAUACACCCGGAUCCAAGUGCCCCUGGCCCUCAUGACCCGACCCCUGGAGAAGCAGCCGAGUUACCCGACAUCGUGGUCAGCAGGAGCUGGGCUGGAGACUGGAUGCUGCAGCUUCAGAGACUUAGCACCUAGGAGGGCUCCUGUGCAGGGAGAAAGGCAGAGAUGCGACAUUUUUAAAGUUUCACAAAACACGAGGCAGCACCCAGGUCCCUGGAGCAGGAGACACACAGAAUUAAUGUUUUAUACCUUCGGGUAUAGGUUUGAGUUUUUUCCCCCUCAUGCCAAGUAUUUAAAACCUCUAGAAACCCAUGAUUUGACAAUCAAUGAUUGCGCGAUACUUUCAAUUUGAAUAUUCAAAGGCUUAACAAAAUGGACUAUCUUCUGCAGAAAUCCUGCACACAGGCACCUCACAGGGAGUCCAGAGAAACAGGGAGCGAGAUGCCUUUGGGUCCUGACCCUUGCUUUUCUCCUAUUUUAAACAUUUUGUCCACCUUCCCACAGACAGAGCAGGUGUCCUCAAAGAUGCUUCAUGUCCCUGCCUCAAAGGCAGCUCAGGAGCCCCCACUGACCUAGGCUGCUCCUCGGGGAUCACCCGAGCCAGGCUGGCUAGCCACAAGGAUUCUCACUUGUCCAAUCUCCAUUUUAAGGGAGAAAUCUCAGAUUUGGGGAGUGAACAUGGCAGCCAGUGGGUGUGGCACAGCAAAAGGCCACUCUGGGCCCAGGUUGCAGGCCAGAGGACAGCAGAGGCCUAAGCUUUGCAUUUUGUGUUCCUCUGGCCCGGCCUGGUCACCUGUGGGCUUCCCUCCCUGUCCAUCUUCCCUCCUGCUAGGCCACAGAUACUGGGCUGCCAGCAAACAGUCCCUGGGCAUCAACACUCAUUUGGCUGCUCAGAGAGCUGUGAGUCAUCACUACUGCCCUGGACCGUCUGAGAUUUCUCUAGGUGGGGAUUCCAUCACCGUGCUGUGGCAAUCCAUAUUCUUUUUUCCCCCCUUCUUCCUCUGCACCCCAGUCUUUUUGCCUCAUAGCACCCCUGCUUGUUUGAGAGAAGGUUGUGGGGUUUGUUUUUAAGGCUCUGAGGAGAGAGGUAGGGGGAUUCGGAGCCAAGCUGCCUCAUUGGACCCCUCAUAAGUGACUCGAGUCUGUGGUGAUGCACAUUUUCCAAGGACUGCCUGAGAUGCUCUCUAGCCUGUGACUUGAAAGAUGGGAGAGACUGGGGUGCUGUAGAAUGCCAGGCCAAAUCAUCACAGAGAGACAGAAGGGUCCCCGUUGUAAAUAACUAGAUAUUUCCAGGAAU